AGUACCUCCAUCAUAUAUAUAUAUAUAUAUAUAUAUAUAAUCAAUUUGGCUAACUGGCGGUCAGCAGGUGUUGGGGAUCUGUCCAUCUCUGAAAUUGCAGGAAAUCACUAUCAUGCCAGGUUGUACGUGAAGGCUAUGGCUCUGAACUCAGGUCCUCAUGUUCUCACAGCAGAUGCUGUAUUGACCCGGCCAUCUCCCCAGCUUCCAAAGAGAAGCUUAUCAUUCUUAACAGACUGGGCAAUUUAAUUUUUCUUUUUUAAUGUGUAAGAGUGUGUGCCUGCAUGCAUGUAUGUGUACCACAUGCAUGCAGUGCCCACAAAGGCCAGAAGAGGGCAUCAAACCCUCUGGAGCUGGAAUUACAGAUGUUUGUAAGCUGCCCAGUGGGCGCUGGGACGCAAACCCAGGUCUUGGCUAAGAGCAACAAGCAUGCCUGAGUCACCUCCAGCCGUUUAGUUUUGGUUUUUAAAAUGGAGACCUAGGGAUAUCCUCCUGCCUCUGUGUGUACACACGAGCUUGCAAGCCUGCAUCCAUGUGUAUAUGCAUUAUCCACAUACACAUGGAAAAAAAAACAUGGAUCUAUGUGCUCUGUGACCUGAAAAAUCCCGUUAGAGCAAUUAUCUGUCCCUAAACACAGAGUAUAGUGAUCUCCAGGGGCUUUGCAUGAUCAAUUUUAAGAAAUGGACAUUCAAAUUACCACAUAAGCCAGGCAUAGUUUUCUGUACAAUGGGCUUCAGAACACUUCCUGUCACCUUUUUGACACAAACAUGACACUUGCUCAUCCUUCUUGGAGACACUUACAAACCAUUUUCUGACUGGGUCCUUAUUUACCCCAGUUGACCCCAGAGGCAGUGGUCAGUUCUCUGUUAAUGUAGCAAACUACCUGAGGUAACUUUUUUUUUUUUUUGGUUUUUCAAGACAGGGUUUCUCUGUGUAGCUUUGUGCCUUUCCUGGAACUCACUUGGUAGCCCAGGCUGGCCUCGAACUCACAGAGAUCCGCCUGGCUCUGCCUCCUGAGUGCUGGGAUUAAAGGUGUGCGCCACCACCUCCCGGCCUGAGGUAACUUUUAAGAAAGAGAAGAUUGCUCUUUGGUUCAUGGUCCCCCAGGUUUCAGUUGGUGGUGCAUGCCUUUAAUCCCAGCACUGCAGAGGUAAAGGCGGGCAGGUAUAUGUGAGUUUAUGUCUAGCCUGAUCUAAAAAGUGAGUUCCAGACCACCCAGGGUUACACAGUGAGAGUUGCCUCUAAAAGAAUCCCCACAAACAACAAAAACAGUAACUCUGUUGGCUCACCUAGCAUGAUAAUGACCCUGGGGACACCUUGAUUUGGACCCAGUAGGUAUCAGUUUUGGAUUUCCGACCCCCAGUAUUUAGAGUGGAGCCUCACAAUGAGAAGAGAUCGAGGCAAGAUUCUUGCUAAUUUAUUUUUAUUUUCUGUGUCCGUGUGUGUUUCUGAGCACACUUGUGAGCGUGCUGUGGGGCGUGCGUGUGGAGGUCAGAGGACGGUUUGCAGGAGUUGGCUCUUUUCUGCCACUGCGUGGCUUCUGCAGGUCAAACCCAGGUCAUCAGGCUUGGCAGCACACACCAUCACCCGCUGGGCCAUCUCACAGCCUUUUCUUGGUAACAUUAGCAACAUUCCAUCAGGUUACCGAGAAUGGUGACUGCGGUGAACGCUGGGAGCAAUCCCAUUUUCACAUUUUCACCAGUGAUCUCGUGUAUGCUGAUUUUGCUUGUCCUCCAGAAACAAUCCAGGGUCUCAUGUAGCCCAGGCUAGCCUUGAAAUUGUUACAUAGUUGAGGCUGACUUGAAGUCCUGAUUCUCCUGCUUCUACUUCUGACAGCUGUGAUUACAAGCAUGUGCCCAAAUAACAAGCUUCCUUUGUGGGUGCAUGUGUGUGCACAUGGGUGUGAAGUCCAGAGGACAGCCUUGUAGUCUGUCCUUCAGGUACCACAUCUGUUUUCCUUGCAUGUGCUUGAGUGUGUGCCUGUGUGUGCGUGUGUGCCUUCAGAGGCCCCAAAGUGAUGAUAUCUUCCUCGAUCACACUCCACUUUGCUUAUAAGUCGAGGUCUCUAGCUGAACCCAGAGUUGGCCGAUUCCAGCUCAUCCAGCCAGCCAGUCUUCCCCGUGGGUCCCGUCUUUGCCCCUCCUGUACCGGGGUUACAGGCAGCUGCCACACUUGCCUGACUUUGAGUUCUGAGACUCUGAAUCCAGCCCACACCUUUUUUUGAGACCGGAUCUCUAAUAGGCUGGAAGCUCACCAUACAGAACAGGCUAGCUGCUGGCUAGCAAGCCUCGGGGAUCCGCCUGUCUCUGGCUCCCCAGUGCCGGGAUUACGAGUGCACACCACAAUGCCCCGCGUCUAUACCAGUUUGGGGGACUGAACUUGGCUCCUCAGGCUUGUAAGUCAAGCACUCUACCAACUGAGCCAUCUCCCUAACCCCUGGUACUCAUUUAAAAAGACACUUGGCAUUGUUGAUUUUUCUUUCUUUUCAGUUCUGGAAAUGGAACGGAA